CCUACGGGUGGCAGCAGUAGGGAAUAUUGCGCAAUGGGGGAAACCCUGAAGCAGCAACGCCGCGUGGAGGAUGAAGGUCUUCGGAUGGUAAACCUCUUUUGUUAGAGAAGAAAAUGACGGGAGCUAACGAAUAAGCAACGGCUAACUCCGUGACAGCAGCCGCGGUAAUACGGAGGGUGCGAGCGUUACUCGGAAUCACUGGGCGUAAAGAGCGCGUAGGCGGGAUAGCAAGUCAGAUGUGAAAUCCUAUGGCUUAACCAUAGAACUGCAUUUGAAACUGUUAGUCUAGAGUGUGGGAGAGGUAGGUGGAAUUCUUGGUGUAGGGGUAAAAUCCGUAGAGAUCAAGAGGAAUACUCAUUGCGAAGGCGACCUGCUAGAACAUAACUGACGCUGAUGCGCGAAAGCGUGGGGAGCAAACAGGAUUAGAUACCCGGGUAGUC
rnacentral:rRNA from 1 species